CCUACGGGUGGCAGCAGUGGGGAAUAUUGCGCAAUGGGCGAAAGCCUGACGCAGCGACGCCGCGUGAGGGAUUAAGGUCUUCGGAUCGUAAACCUCUGUCAGCAUGGAAGAACAGUCACUGUGCUAAUCAUCAGUGAAUUGACGGUACCUGCAAAGGAAGCACCGGCUAACUCCGUGCCAGCAGCCGCGGUAAUACGGAGGGUGCGAGCGUUAAUCGGAAUUACUGGGCGUAAAGCGCUCGUAGGCGGUAUGUCAAGUCAAGGGUGAAAGCCCCGCGCUCAACGUGGGAACUGCCUUUGAAACUGGCAAACUGGAGUGUGUGAGAGGAUAGUGGAAUUCCAGGUGUAGGAGUGAAAUCCGUAGAUAUCUGGAGGAACAUCAGUGGCGAAGGCGACUAUCUGGCACAUAACUGACGCUGAGGAGCGAAAGCGUGGGUAGCAAACAGGAUUAGAUACCCGGGUAGUC
rnacentral:rRNA from 1 species